CAGGUGCCUGAGAAACAAAGCCGCAGAUCGCUCCACCGCUGUGCGCAGCCCCCUGCUGAGGGGCCAGCGGCUCUCCCUGGGCAAAUUCCAGGGUAAGGUGUCUCCCGGAGCUGGGGAUGCGGAGCCAGAUUUCUGGCUGAAAUCAUCCUCAUCGGAAAAAUCCGCAGAGGAAGACAUAGAGCAGCGAUAGGACGCGUUCCCGGAACUCUACAGAGAAUGACACAGAAAAAGCAUUAACAGCAAAAUACUCACAUAUGCUCAAUGAUUUAAACAUCUCCCCCA
rnacentral:lncRNA from 1 species